UACAGAGGUCUCAAGCGUUGUUCGGAUUCAUUGGGCGUAAAGGGUGCGUAGGUGGCGCGCUAAGUCAGGUGUGAAAUUUCGGAGCUUAACUCCGAAACUGCAUUUGAUACUGGUGUGCUUGAGGACUGGAGAGGAGGCUGGAAUUCAUGGUGUAGCAGUGAAAUGCGUAGAGAUCAUGAGGAAGACCAGUGGCGAAGGCGGGUCUCUGGACAGUUCCUGACACUGAGGCACGAAGGCCAGGGGAGCAAACGGG
rnacentral:rRNA from 1 species